GACAGAGGGUGCAAACGUUGUCCGGAUUUACUGGGCGUAAAGCGCGUGUAGGCGGCUUGGCAAGUCGGAUGUGAAAGCCCACGGCUCAACCGUGGAAGCGCAUCUGAAACUGCUUCGCUCGAGUCUCGGAGAGGAAGGUGGAAUGCUUGGUGUAGAGGUGAAAUUCGUAGAUAUCAAGCAGAACACCUGCGGCGAAGGCGGCCUUCUGGACGAUGACUGACGCUGAGACGCGAAAGCGUGGGGAGCAAACAGG
rnacentral:rRNA from 1 species